CAGCUCCUGGAAAAGAAGAGACAAAUAUGUAAUAUUUGUAUGUAACAAAGAAUCCGAUUCAGUUGGCUUAUCCAGGAAAUCCCCUUUUAUGGAGAUGAGAGGUAUCCUUUUAACCCGACUUUCAACGGACUGAAAUUGGAAUUUAAUAAAAUAUGAAUAUUCUGGUUUUUGAAAUCCAAUCUUCCAAACAUUGUAGAUGAGAGUGCGUAUCCAGAGAGCGAAUUCAUUUUCCAACAGAAAAUUGUAAAGGAAUGGAGCACUCUAUCGCACGGAUUGAUAGAAAAAUGGGUGGAGAGUAUUGUCAGGCGCAUUGAUAGCGUGAUCAAAGCCAAAGGCCUUUGGAAAAAAUUCCUUAAUCUAUAAGUUUUGUUAUACGAGCCAAAGUGGAUUCGUGCUCAUUUUUAAGUUUUUUUUCUGGAUUAUUCGAGCUAAGGAGGAGAUAAUGAAUAACAUUUUUGUUUUUCGUUUUAUAUAUUAUAAAUGGAUUUUUGUUAUAAA